rnacentral:rRNA from 1 species
GGCUUAGAAGCAGCCACACAUUUAAAGAGUGCGUAAUAGCUCACUGGUCGAGUGAUCCUGCGCCGAAAAUUCAACGGGGCUAAACGUGUAACCGAAGCUUGGGAUUCCGCAAGGAAUGGUAGGGGAGCGUCGUGUAAGGGGUGAAGUCGCAGCGAGAGCGGCGGUGGACAUUACACGAGUGAGAAUGCCGGAAUGAGUAGCGCGAAUUAUGUGAGAAUCAUAAUGGCCGAAAGUCUAAGGUUUUUGGAGGAAGGUUCGUCCGCUCCAAGUUAGCCGGGAGCUAAGGUGAGGCCGAAAGGCGUAGCCGAUGCACAUACGGUAGAAAUUCCGUAGCCGUCGAAAGAUUUAAGCAAGGGGACACUGUCAAAGCGCGUGACCCGGGCGUUGGUUGACCCGGGCGCAAGGGACUGAAAUUUAGUAGGGAAGCACGCGUAGCGGCAGGCGAGAAAAGCCUUGUGUAUAUCUGAGAUGCCCGUACCGCAAACCGACACAGGUAGACAGGAAGAGAAUUCUAAGGCCAACGGGAGAAGGGUUGUUAAGGAACUCGGCAAGUUGACCCCGUAACUUCGGAAUAAGGGGUGCUCAUGAAAGUGAGCCGCAGAGAAUAGGCCCAGGCAACUGUUUACCAAAAACACAGGUUUGUGCUAAAUCGAAAGAUGACGUAUACGAGCUGACGCCUGCCCGGUGCUGGAAGGUUAAAAGGAGAUGUGCAAGCAUUGAAUUGAAGCCCCAGUGAACGGCGGCCGUAACUAUAACGGUCCUAAGGUAGCGAAAUUCCUUGUCAGGUAAGUUCUGACCCGCACGAAAGGCGUAAUGAUUUGGGCACUGUCUCAACAGCCCGCCCGGCGAAAUUGUAGUACCGGUGAAGAUGCCGGUUACCCGCGACAAGACGGAAAGACCCCAUGGAGCUUUACUGUAGCCUAAUAUUGGGUUUCGGUGUUGCAUGCACAGGAUAGAUGGGACGCUGGGAAGUGAGUGCUUUGGCAUUCAUGGAGCGGCCGUUGGGAUACCAUCCUUGCGACAUUGGAAUUCUAACCUGCGCCUUUGAAUCAAGGCGGGGGACAUUGUUAGGUGGGCAGUUUGACUGGGGCGGUCGCCUCCUAAAGAGUAACGGAGGCGUUCAAAGGUUCGCUCAGCUUGAACGGAAAUCAAGCAAAAGAGUGCAAACGCAGAAGCGAGCCUAACUGCGAGACUGACGGGUCGAGCAGUAACGAAAGUUGGAGUUAGUGAUCCGGCGGUAUGUGAGUGGAAAUGCCGUCGCUCAACGGAUAAAAGCUACCCUGGGGAUAACAGGCUGAUCU